rnacentral:rRNA from 1 species
AUUGAACGCUGGCGGCAGGCUUAACACAUGCAAGUCGAGCGGAGAGAGGUAGCUUGCUACUGAUCUUAGCGGCGGACGGGUGAGUAAUGCUUAGGAAUCUGCCUAUUAGUGGGGGACAACAUUUCGAAAGGAAUGCUAAUACCGCAUACGUCCUACGGGAGAAAGCAGGGGAUCUUCGGACCUUGCGCUAAUAGAUGAGCCUAAGUCGGAUUAGCUAGUUGGUGGGGUAAAGGCCUACCAAGGCGACGAUCUGUAGCGGGUCGGAGAGGGUGAUCCGCCACACUGGGACUGAGACACGGCCCAGACUCCUACGGGAGGCAGCAGUGGGGAAUAUUGGACAAUGGGCGGAAGCCUGAUCCAGCCAUGCCGCGUGUGUGAAGAAGGCCUUAUGGUUGUAAAGCACUUUAAGCGAGGAGGAGGCUACUUUAGUUAAUACCUAGAGAUAGUGGACGUUACUCGCAGAAUAAGCACCGGCUAACUCUGUGCCAGCAGCCGCCGUAA